rnacentral:rRNA from 1 species
UACAGAGGGUGCGAGCGUUGUUCGGAAUUAUUGGGCGUAAAGCGCUUGUAGGCGGCCUAUCAAGUCGCGUGUGAAAUCCCUAGGCUUAACCUAGGAAGUGCGCGCGAAACUGACGGGCUUGAGUGCUGGAGAGGGUCGCGGAAUUCCCGGUGUAGAGGUGAAAUUCGUAGAUAUCGGGAGGAACACCAGUGGCGAAGGCGGCGACCUGGACAGACACUGACGCUGAGACGCGAAAGCGUGGGGAGCAAACAG